rnacentral:rRNA from 1 species
AUUGAACGCUGGCGGCAGGCUUAACACAUGCAAGUCGAGCGGAGAUGAGGUGCUUGCACCUUAUCUUAGCGGCGGACGGGUGAGUAAUGCUUAGGAAUCUGCCUAUUAGUGGGGGACAACAUUCCGAAAGGAAUGCUAAUACCGCAUACGCCCUACGGGGGAAAGCAGGGGAUCUUCGGACCUUGCGCUAAUAGAUGAGCCUAAGUCGGAUUAGCUAGUGGGUGGGGUAAAGGCCUACCAAGGCGACGAUCUGUAGCGGGUCUGAGAGGAUGGCCCGCCACACUGGGACUGAGACACGGCCCAGACUCCGACGGGAGGCAGCAGUGGGGAAUAUUGGACAAUGGGCGGAAGCCUGAUCUAGCCAUGCCGCGUGUGUGAAGAAGGCCUUUUGGUUGUAAAGCACUUUAAGCGAGGAGGAGGCCACUUGGAUUAAUACUCUAGGAUAGUGGACGUUACUCGCAGAAUAAGCACCGGCUAACUCUGUGCCAGCAGCCGACGUAACAC